rnacentral:rRNA from 1 species
GAGAUUCCCCCAGUAGCGGCGAGCGAACGGGGAGGAGCCCAGAGCCUGAAUCAGCAUGUGUGUUAGUGGAAGCGUCUGGAAAGGCGCGCGAUACAGGGUGACAGCCCCGUACACAAAAGCGCAUGUGCUGUGAGCUCGAUGAGUAGGGCGGGACACGUGGUAUCCUGUCUGAAUAUGGGGGGACCAUCCUCCAAGGCUAAAUACUCCUGACUGACCGAUAGUGAACCAGUACCGUGAGGGAAAGGCGAAAAGAACCCCGGCGAGGGGAGUGAAAAAGAACCUGAAACCGUGUACGUACAAGCAGUGGGAGCCCCACCACUAAGCCAGUGGUGAACUCCACAUACGCAUCCUUUGCUGAAGGCAAUGGUUAACGGAGCGAAAGCGACGUUCAACCGCAAAACAAGCAGAGGGGGCUUAGUGGUGGGGUGACUGCGUACCUUUUGUAUAAUGGGUCAGCGACUUAUAUUCUGUAGCAAGGUUAACCGUAUAGGGGAGCCGGAGGGAAACCGAGUCUUAAUUGGGCGUUAAGUUGCAGGGUAUAGACCCGAAACCCGGUGAUCUAGCCAUGGGCAGGUUGAAGGUUGGGUAACACUAACUGGAGGACCGAACCGACUAAUGUUGAAAAAUUAGCGGAUGACCUGUGGCUGGGGGUGAAAGGCCAAUCAAACCGGGAGAUAGCUGGUUCUCCCCGAAAGCUAUUUAGGUAGCGCCUCGUGAAUUCAUCUCCGGGGGUAGAGCACUGUUUCGGCUAGGGGGCCAUCCCGGCUUACCAACCCGAUGCAAACUGCGAAUACCGGAGAAUGUUAUCACGGGAGACACACGGCGGGUGCUAACGUCCGUCGUGAAGAGGGAAACAACCCAGACCGCCAGCUAAGGUCCCAAAGUCAUGGUUAAGUGGGAAACGAUGUGGGAAGGCCCAGACAGCCAGGAUGUUGGCUUAGAAGCAGCCAUCAUUUAAAGAAAGCGUAAUAGCUCACUGGUCGAGUCGGCCUGCGCGGAAGAUGUAACGGGGCUAAACCAUGCACCGAAGCUGCGGCAGCGA